AUAGGUUUGGUCCCAGCCUUCCUGUUAACUCUCAACAGACUUACACAUGCAAGCAUCCACGCCCCGGUGAGUAACGCCCUCCAAAUCAAUAAGACUAAGAGGAGCAGGUAUCAAGCACACAUCUUGUAGCUUACAACGCCUCGCUUAACCACACCCCUACGGGAGACAGCAGUGACAAAAAUUAAGCCAUAAACGAAAGUUUGACUAAGCCAUGUUGACCAGGGUUGGUAAAUCUCGUGCCAGCCACCGCGGUCAUACGAUUAACCCAAGCUAACAGGAAUACGGCGUAAAACGUGUUAAAGCACUACAUCAAAUAGAGUUAAAUUCUAAUUAAACUGUAAAAAGCCAUAAUUACAACAAAAAUAGAUGACGAAAGUAACCCUACUGCAGCUGAUACACUAUAGCUAAGACCCAAACUGGGAUUAGAUACCCCACUAUGCUUAGCCCUAAACACAAAUAAUUACAGAAACAAAAUUAUUCGCCAGAGUACUACCGGCAACAGCCCGAAACUCAAAGGACUUGGCGGUGCUUUAUACCCUUCUAGAGGAGNCUGUUCUAUAAUCGAUAAACCCCGAUAAACCUCACCAAUCCUUGCUAAUACAGUCUAUAUACCGCCAUCUUCAGCAAACCCUAAAAAGGAACAAAAGUAAGCUCAAUCACAACACAUAAAGACGUUAGGUCAAGGUGUAACCCAUGGAAUGGGAAGAAAUGGGCUACAUUUUCUACCUUAAGAAAAUUAAUACGAAAGCCAUUAUNNNAUUAANNNNNNNNNNNNNNNNNNNNNNNNNNNNNNNNNNNNNNNNCUUAGUUGAAUUAGGCCAUGAAGCACGCACACACCGCCCGNCACCCUCCUCAAGUAAAUACAAUGCACUCAAGCCUAUUAACACGCAUCAACUACAUGAGAGGAGAUAAGUCGUAACAAGGUAAGCAUACUGGAAAGUGUGCUUGGAUAA
rnacentral:ncRNA from 1 species